rnacentral:lncRNA from 1 species
UUCAAAACACUUUCCCCAAAUUGUUAUAUAAAAUAAAAUCAACCAAAUUUGUUUUGUAUAUUCAAUUUGUUUUCAUAUUUUUUUAAUUUUUUUAUUUGGGGUGAAUGUAACUGGAAUUUGAUCAAUUGGGGAUGGAGAAGCAGUGGAUGAUGAGGGUUGUGGAUGGUUCGAAGUGAAAAAAGGUGUAAUUUUUUUCUUUCUCGAUUGCCCCAUUUUCUUCCAUUACCAACAUUAACAUCCCGUAUGCAAAGAAAAGUUUAGGCAGCGGCUUUGGUGCUUUCUUUUUUAGAGCAUAGAAACACUUGAAGUUGCUACCUGCUAAAACCCCUUUGUGCUCUCUCUCUCUCUCUCUCUCUCUCUCUCUCUCUCUCUCUCUGAACAACAAAUCAACUCUCAGAGUGGCACACACAGCAAUGGCAAGCUCAAUAGAAGAGACCAAGCUCGAGAGGUUCCUCCAGUGGUUACAGGUGCCCAUAUGUUUGUGUUUUUCUAAAACUUAACAUGAAGAGUGGUGGGGUGUGUGUAUAGAUAUACUAAGGUUAAGUAUUAAGUUGGAUUACCUUUUUUGUCUUUUUACACAACAAUAAAACUUAAGAGCUUAAUGAUUUAAGUAUUGGAAUGAACAAAGAAAAGUGUGGGGUUUAAAUAGAAAAACUCUUUAAUUUAUAGCAUUCUAAAGAGCACCAAUGUGUGGUUAAAUACAUUUUUUUUAUUAAAAAAAAAAAAAAACUAGCUAUUACCUUACGAAAUCCAGCAAUGAGUAUAGCUCAAACUAGUGAAGUCAAACAAUGAAUAUUUAAUGAUUGAUCAGUUGGCAGUCUUGUAUUUUCUAGCAGUGAGAAAACUAAAAAGCACAGUGGAACAUUGAGCAAAAUUAUAGAGUACCCAAAUUCAACUUUUUUAUAAAAUACCUACCUAGCUAGUUAUUUUGAAGGAAGUUGAGGUUCCAUCCCAAAAUUAAUUGACAAUGGGCAGAGUAGCCCAACUUUUUGUAAACAUUUGCUAGGUUUCUUAACUUUUCAAUGUGAGACUCUUUACCUUCACAUUCUCACACGCCUCCGCACGUGUGAUGAAUUUUCAAUCCUAACACAUGGACAACAUAUUUUGGGUGACUUGGAGCACGUGUGGCCGUUGAGCUUUCAUACGUGGGCAACCCGCUCUGAUACCAUGAAGGAAGUUGAGGUUCCACCCCAAAAUCAAUUGGCAAUGGGGAGAGUAGCCCAACUCCUUAUACACCCUUGCUAGGUUUCUCAACUUUCCAAUGUGGGACUUUUUACCUUCACAUUCUCACAUAUUUGUGUCAAAGUACGUAGUUAAAGAGAGAAAGAAGGUCAUCAAUGGCUUUCGGGUCUUCCUAGUUCUGGUUGUUCUAGCCAUGCGGGAAGUGAAAAUGGUUUGUUGCCCAGUACCAUGAGGAGAGGGCACUCAAGAUAAAGGCAUGAAUUUACCUGAAUUGAAAUUGGGGACGGACUCAGGAUUUCAAAUUGAGGUGGGCUAAAUUUACCUUACGUACAAAACCUAAUUGCAAAUCCCUAAUUGAUAAUUCAUAACAUUGAAUUGAAAAUCCUUAAUUUAUACUUCUUAAAUCUUAAAAAAUCCCCAAAUUUGAAUAACAAUAAAUUGAGGAAAGAAAAUUGUAAGAUUCCGUCAUACAAUAAUUGUUUGCUAACAUUCCACCAAUAAAAUAUGACCCACCAAAAAAAAAUUGAACAUGUUGAAGGGUUGAUGUGUGAAGUGGGGAAGGCUGUAGGGUGGGCUACAUGUGACUUUGGGCUGGAAAAUAAUAAAAGCUGUAUGGGCUAUAGCCCAGGUUAGCCUGUGGUUGGGUUUGUCCCUGCAUCCAUCGCCACAGUGUUGCUAGCACGCAAGGGUCAGUCAUGUUGAAUGCAUAUGCCAUGUGAUCCCCCAAGCUUGCAGCCACCCAUUGAUAUCAACCGUAAUGGUAGAACCAUGAAUUUUUCAAUGGUGAGCUAGCUAAAGUUAUUACCUUAAAAUCUAAUUAUAUUUUUUACUUACAGUUUCUAUAGUCUUUUUAAAAAUAAAAAUAUACAUUAAAUCAUAUAAAUCACGCUAGUUCAUACUUUCAUUGACUAAUUUUCAUUAUGCUUUUUUUC